GUGCCAGCCGCCGCGGUAAUACGGAGGGUGCGAGCGUUAUUCGGAAUUACUGGGCGUAAAGCGCGUGCAGGCGGAAGGAGCAGUCUGAUGUGAAAGCCCGGGGCUUAACCCCGGAAGAGCAUUGGAAACCAUCCUUCUUGAGUGCUGGAGAGGAAGGGGGAAUUCCCGGUGUAGAGGUGAAAUUCGUAGAGAUCGGGAGGAAUACCAGUGGCGAAGGCGCCCUUCUGGACAGUCAAACUGACGCUGAGACGCGAAAGCGUGGGGAGCAAACAGGAUUAGAAACCCUCGUAGUCC
rnacentral:rRNA from 1 species